AUCUUCCACAAUGGGCGAAAGCCUGAUGGAGCAAUGCCGCGUGAGUGAAGAAGGUCUUCGGAUCGUAAAGCUCUGUUAUCGGAAAAGAACACGGAGUACAGUAACUGGUAUUCCGCUGACGGUAUCCGACCAGAAAGUCACGGCUAACUACGUGCCAGCAGCCGCGGUAAUACGUAGGUGACAAGCGUUGUCCGGAUUUAUUGGGCGUAAAGCGAGCGCAGGCGGUCUUUUAAGUCUGAUGUGAAAGCCCACGGCUCAACCGUGGAUGGUCAUUGGAAACUGGAAGACUUGAAUGCAGAAGAGGAAAGUGGAAUUCCAUGUGUAGCGGUGAAAUGCGUAGAUAUAUGGAGGAACACCAGUGGCGAAGGCGACUUUCUGGUCUGUAAUUGACGCUGAGGCUCGAAAGCGUGGGGAGCGAAC
rnacentral:rRNA from 1 species